rnacentral:rRNA from 1 species
AGUAGUUGAUCCUGGCUCAGAACGACGCUGGCGGCAUGCCUAACACAUGCAAGUCGAACGAGACCUUCGGGUCUAGUGGCGCACGGGUGCGUUAACGCGUGGGAACCUGCCUUUAGGUUCGGAAUAACUCAGAGAAAUUUGAGCUAAUACCGGAUAAUGUCUUCGGACCAAAGAUUUAUCGCCUUUAGAUGGGCCCGCGUAAGAUUAGCUAGUUGGUGGGUAAAGGCCUACCAAGGCGACGAUCUUUAGCUGGUCUGAGAGGAUGAUCAGCCACACUGGGACUGAGACACGGCCCAGACUCCUACGGGAGGCAGCAGUGGGGAAUAUUGGACAAUGGGCGAAAGCCUGAUCCAGCAAUGCCGCGUGAGUGAUGAAGGCCUUAGGGUUGUAAAGCUCUUUACCCGAGAUGAUAAUGACAGUAUCGGGAGAAUAAGCUCCGGCUAACUCCGUG